rnacentral:tRNA from 1 species
GUAGAUAGUGGCAGAAAAGUGCAUCAGUUUUAGGCACUGAAAAUGAGAAUAUAUGAGUCUCCUUCUACU